AUUGAACGCUGGCGGUAUGCUUAACACAUGCAAGUCGAACGGUAACAGGCCUUCGGGCGCUGACGAGUGGCGGACGGGUGAGUAACGCGUAGGAAUCUGCCUGUUAGUGGGGGACAACGUGGGGAAACUCACGCUAAUACCGCAUACGCCCUACGGGGGAAAGCGGGGGCUCUUCGGACCUCGCGCUAACAGAUGAGCCUGCGUGGGAUUAGCUAGUUGGUAGGGUAAAGGCCUACCAAGGCGACGAUCUAUAGCUGGUCUGAGAGGACGAUCAGCCACACUGGGACUGAGACACGGCCCAGACUCCUACGGGUGGCUG
rnacentral:rRNA from 1 species